rnacentral:lncRNA from 1 species
GUCCUGUCCAGGUGAGGUUAGUGAUGAUGAUGGUAUGUUGUCCUGUCCAGGUGAGGUUAGUGAUGAUGAUGGUAUGUUGUCCAGGUGAGGUUAGUGAUGAUGGUAUGUUGUCCUGUCCAGGUGAGGUUAGUGAUGAUGAUGAUGAUGAUGAUAUGUUGUCCUGUCCAGGUGAGGUUAGUGAUGAUGAUGGUAUGUUGUCCAGGUGAGGUUAGUGAUGAUGAUGGUAUGUUGUCCUGUCCAGGUGAGGUUAGUGAUGAUGAUGGUAUGUUGUCCAGGUGAGGUUAGUGAUGAUGGUAUGUUGUCCUGUCCAGGUGAGGUUAGUGAUGAUGAUGAUGAUGAUGAUGGUAUGUUGUCCUGUCCAGGUGAGGUUAGUGAUGAUGAUGGUAUGUUGUCCUGUCCAGGUGAGGUUAGUGAUGAUGAUGGUAUGUUGUCCUGUCCAGGUGAGGUUAGUGAUGAUGGUAUGUUGUCCUGUCCAGGUGAGGUUAGUGAUGAUGAUGAUGAUGAUGAUGGUAUGUUGUCCUGUCCAGGUGAGGUUAGUGAUGAUGAUGAUGAUGG